rnacentral:piRNA from 1 species
UCUGAUGGUAGGUAUUUUCUUAAUUCC